rnacentral:rRNA from 1 species
GCUACACAUGCAAGUCGAGCGGUAGAGAGAAGCUUGCUUCUCUUGAGAGCGGCGGACGGGUGAGUAAUACCUARGAAUCUGCCUGAUASUGGGGGAUAACGUUCGGAAACGGACGCUAAUACCGCAUACRUCCUACGGGAGAAAGCAGGGGACCUUCGGGCCUUGCGCUAUCAGAUGASCCUAGGUCGGAUUAGCUAGUUGGUGAGGUAAUGGCUCACCAAGGCUACGAUCCGUAACUGGUCUGAGAGGAUGAUCAGUCACACUGGAACUGASACACGGUCCAGACUCCUACGGGAGGCAGCAGUGGGGAAUAUUGGACAAUGGGCGAAAGCCUGAUCCARCCAUGCCGCGUGUGUGAASAAGGUCUUCKGAUUGUAAAGCACUUUAAGUUGGGAGGAAGGGCRUUAACCUAAUACGUUGGUGUCUUGACGUUACCGACAGAAUAAGCACCGGCUAACUCUGUGCCAGCAGCCGCGGUAAUACAGAGGGUGCAAGCGUUAAUCGGAAUUACUGGGCGUAAAGCGCGCGUAGGUGGUUUGUUAAGUUGAAUGUGAAAUCCCCGGGCUCAACCUGGGAACUGCAUCCAAAACUGGCAAGCUA